GCGCUCUGCGCUGUGUUGGACCAGUAGGGAUGUAUUUUCCAGUAUUUUCGAAGAAAAUAAGCUAAAAAGUACUUAAAUCGUGACAGUAAUUGAAUUGACCUAAGCUUGAGCUGGUAAUAACGGCCUGGCUACUGAAUCUACAUACGAUUGAUGUCAAAUGCACAAGAGACCGAGGGGUGAAAAGAUGUGAAGUGGUGCCUGAACCUGAAGUCUUACAGAGGCAGACCGGGACAUUUUCUUUUUUAUCAAGUAUCCAACUAAAAAAUGAGGUCAAUCAACAAUGCAAUGAGCUUGAAAAAGUUCAUGCUGCGGCAGGAAGUCCUGACUCUCUACAGGUCCAUUCUGAGGUCCAUCAAAUCAGUCCCAGAACAGGACAGGGCCACAAUGAAGGCAUGGGUCCGAGAAGAGUUUGAGCUGCAUCGGUCUGUUCAAGAUGAGGCACUCAUCAAACAGCAUUUAGCUUGUGGCAAAAAGACAUUCAAAGAGCUCCAACAAGCAAUGAAUCUUGCAUCAUCCUGACAAGUUUGUAGCAGCCAUCUCAACUGUUGCUCCUGUUCAUCUACUACUUGAAUCUACUUUGGCGGCGCUGAGGUCGGUGGAGACGCAGUAGCCCGUCUGCGGCUCGGAGGCUGCGCGCGCCAGACACGAGAGCCAGUCGCGCCGCGAGCGGACCGGGCACUCGUUCACUGCCGUCAUCAGGUCGCCGGCCGACAGACCGGUGGCGCCGUGCAGCGGAGAGUCCUGCAAACACGGCCCAGAGCGUCACCAACAGACAGAGAGGGGUAAGGGCGGGUGCGUGCAGAGGGGUAGAGAGGGUGCGUGAAGUGAUCAGAGACGCAUAGAGACAGUGCGAGUGUUUAUAGUUGUUGUACAACUGUGUGUGUGCCUUGAAGACCUGGUAAAAGUGCAAUAAAUGAGAAAGAUAUUGGUGUAA